rnacentral:piRNA from 1 species
UAACCUCGGGCCGAUCG